rnacentral:rRNA from 1 species
CGCGGCCUAUCAGCUUGUUGGUGGGGUAACGGCUCACCAAGGCUGGGACGGGUAGCUGGCGUGAGAGCGCGACCAGCCACACCGGCACUGAGACACGGGCCGGACUCCUACGGGAGGCAGCGGUGGGGAAUCUUGCGCAAUGGACGAAAGUCUGACGCAGCGACGCCGUGUGCGGGAGGACGCCCCUCGGGGUGUAAACCGCUGUCAGGGGGGAAGAAAGUACCGAGGUCGAAUAGGCCUCGGUAUUGACGGUACCCCCAGAGGAAGCUCCGGCUAACUCCGCGCCAGCAGCCGCGGUAAUACGGAGGGAGCGAGCGUUGUCCGGAAUCACUGGGCGUAAAGGGCGCGCAGGCGGCCGGGGAAGUCCUCUGUGAAAUUCUGGGGCUCAACUCCAGAGGGUCAGGGGAAACUCCUCGGCUAGAGACAGGUAGAGGCGAGUGGAAUUCCCGGUGUAGCGGUGGAAUGCGUAGAUAUCGGGAAGAGCACCGGUGGCGAAGGCGGCUCGCUGGGCCUGUUCUGACGCUCAGGCGCGAAAGCGUGGGGAGCAAACAGGAUUAGAUACCCUGGUAGUCCACGCCGUAAACGAUGGGCACUAGGUGCCGGGGGGCGGGAUACCCUUCGGUGCCGAAGCUAACGCGUUAAGUGCCCCGCGCUGGGGGGGUUACGGGAGAUACGUU